GACGUAGGGCGCAAGCGUUGUCCGGAUUUAUUGGGCGUAAAGAGCUCGUAGGCGGUCUGUCGCGUCGGAUGUGAAAAUCCAGGGCUCAACCCUGGACCUGCAUUCGAUACGGGCAGACUAGAGUUCGGUAGGGGAGACUGGAAUUCCUGGUGUAGCGGUGAAAUGCGCAGAUAUCAGGAGGAACACCGGUGGCGAAGGCGGGUCUCUGGGACGGUACUGACGCUGAGACGCGAAAGCGUGGGGAGCAAACAGG
rnacentral:rRNA from 1 species